rnacentral:rRNA from 1 species
UACAGAGGUCUCGAGCGUUAGGCGGAAUCACUGGGCUUAAAGCGUGUGUAGGCGGGUCGUUAAGUGCCUUGUGAAAUCCCAUGGCUCAACCAUGGAACUGCUGGGCAUACUGGCGAUCUUGUGCCACCUAGGGGCGAGCGGAACAGAUGGUGGAGCGGUGAAAUGCGUAGAUAUCAUCUGGAACGCCAAUGGUGAAAACAGCUCGCUGGGGGGUGUGCAGACGCUGGAGACACGAAAGCCAGGGGAGCGAACGGG